rnacentral:rRNA from 1 species
UGGGGAAUCUUGCGCAAUGGGCGAAAGCCUGACGCAGCGACGCCGCGUGCGGGAGGACGCUUUUCGGAGUGUAAACCGCUGUCGGGAGGGACGAACCGUGUCGGGAGGCAAUGCCCGACACCUGACGGUACCUUCAAAGGAAGCACCGGCUAACUCUGUGCCAGCAGCCGCGGUAAUACAGAGGGUGCGAGCGUUGUUCGGAAUUAUUGGGCGCAAAGCGCACGUAGGCGGCUCGUUAAGUCUGUCUGUGAAAGACCGGGGCUCAACCCCGGGGCUGCAGCGGAUACUGGCGAGCUUGAGACACGUAGAGGCUGGCGGAAUUCCGGGUGUAGCGGUGGAAUGCGUAGAGAUCCGGAAGAACACCGGUGGCGAAGGCGGCCAGCUGGGCGUGGUCUGACGCUGAGGUGCGAAGGCGUGGGGAGCGAACAGG